rnacentral:lncRNA from 1 species
AGGGAUACCAACCGUAGGGAUGACACAAAACAGUCAAAUGACUCGAUUGACCCUUCAACACGCCUUUCCUUAUGGCUAAACAUGGAUAUACUUGCACGACCAAAUGGCGACCGUAGAUGGCUAAGGUAAAAAUUGCUAGAUCCCUUUCUGCCACAACUUGGCUCUGAUACCAGAUGUAACCCGGGCCAUGCGCUUGGUAGGACAGAUUGAGCACUUGCGUGUGGGUGGAAGCAUCGCACGAGUGGGAUGAAGUCACAGGAUAUAAUAUCUCGCAAGUCCUAACGGACUCUCCUAACAAAAUCAAGAACCCCGAUAACCACAAAGCGGAAGUAUCACACAAGGUGACUUGUCACAGCAUGGUGACACAGUCCUAAAAGGAUGGAUCACUUUGAAGUAUAUGAUGCUACCUGCUUGCACUGUAUAAUCACAGCAUGAAACUAGGACGAACUAUUAAGUAUACGAUGCUGCUCGUUUGCACCGUAUAUCUUACAGUCUGGAACUUAGGAGUGUAAGUGCAAAAUAGAUUAUGAUUGAGGAAUUAAGGAGGUCAACCACACAGAUAACACACAUGCAGAAUAUACAAGAUAAAGGUAGAUGACAGAAAGACAUGCAAGCACUC